rnacentral:lncRNA from 1 species
GCUCGCCCUGCGCCUCGGCCCCUGUCAUGGCGGCUGGGGGGGGGUCGGAGCGGCGCGGCCCGCGGCGGGCUCGGUCUCAGUCUCUCCUCGCCGGCUGAGGGCAUUAACCAGGGCAAAGCGGCGCGGUGCCGCCCUGCUUCCCCCGGUUUGCCCGGUGUCACUUCAGGAGCGCCCCAGCGGUGAGCAGGCGGUGGGGGUGCAGCCUGUCCCGGAUCGCCCGGACCCCGCUGUCACACCGGUACUGAGUUUUUAUGCGCUUUGUAACCCAGCCUGGUCAGGAGCUUGUUUUUACAACCGUCACCUUAUGAUCAGAUAGCUAAUGGACAUGCAGCGCUGAGCACUGUUAGGCCCGAGCAGCAUGGUGUAAACCUGCCCAUACAUAUCCUCCAUGGGUAAUACUUGGAGGAUUUAUCCACUGGAAUUCAUAGGUUUGCUGUUAUUUCCACAAGUACAAGCUUAGGAAACCCCCCAGCAUCUGUAGGAUGAGUGAGGACUGCACCCGUGUCACUAGGCAGCUACAGCCAGCUCCAGCAGCCCCAGGUCCAGCCAAAAGCCAACCCAGCCCAUGCUACGACGUCAAAAGCUUUGUAUAUACUGUACAGAUACUAAAAUCAGUUUUGCUGAGCCUGAGCUGGCUGUAGUGCGUCGUCCUGAAGGUGUGUGUGGCGAAUGAUCUUCCGUAAUGAAGGAGUCAUUUCCCGGUCCGAGUCACCUGCCAGCUGCAUCUUCCUGUAUUCCUCCAUCUCUCCAGAGCUCUGGAAAGCACCAGCCUGCUGUUCCCCGGCUGACUCAGGCAAUUAGUAAGAUUAGCAAAAACGUCUUCCAGACUCAGAGCCUUGGCUUUUAAAUAACUGACAAGAGAAUGCCAGGCUUCCUCCGGCUCCCUGCGUGCCUUUGUCGUACACUGGCCUGUGAAACACGGGCUCAGUUACUUCUGUGAAGAACUUGUCCUUGCCGAGAGCCAGGGUGAAGAUCACACAGCACAGGCUCACAUCCUCACUCACGCUGUGACGGCUGCAACAAUGAGGAGUGGAAUCAGGAACCAAAGCCAACUCAUUAUACAGCAUCCAAAAGCUCAGACAUCUGAAGGAAACUACUGACGCCAUCCCUGUGCCACUGGGGUGAGGAACCCACAGCACUGCACUGGUUCCACAACAGCACAGGCUGCCCCGCUCCACCACUGGAAGCAAACAGCUAUCCAGACUGAAGGUUAAGAAGACUGAAUGUGGUGGCUUUGUUCCAAAACCAGCUCCAUUUCCCUACCUGGAAGUGGGACAACAGUGAAAUCAGAAAUUACAGCCUUAUUUAAUAUCUGCAGAUUUGGCUCUACUGUCAUUGCCCCCAGUCACAGUAUUAUCAGGUAGCAGCAUUCAUCUCAGGUGCUCAGCAUCCCUUCCAUACCCCGGAGAGACCAUGCCCUUAUUAAAGGUCUUGUUUAUAGACAGGGAAACCGAGGCAAAGAGCCAUGAUUCAAGUCCACAGAAAUCAGUGGCAGACCAUCCAGAGCCCCCGACUAGACCCAUCAGACCUAGUAACUUUUCCAGCUAUUAUAAAAGGGAAGAGGGCAGGAGUGCUCUUAGGGGCUAACUGGAAGCAGAUGAAUCCCUAGAAAUCUUCCUGUCCACUCAGUGGGCUUCAUAUGAGGAUCUGAAAUACUCAGCAGCCAAAUUACUUAAGUUGUAUUGCUGGGAGGAGGGAACAAGGCAUGAAACUUGGGAAGCUCAGUCGCAAAAAAUCCUCUUGGAAGUCAAGCUGUAAAGCUUUAUAUGCACCUGAAGCAAAAACUCCCUCUUUCCCUGGCUGCUUCUGCCUGUGAAAAGAAAACAGGCAGGGCAGGUGAUUUGUGAAUGCUUUCUUGCUAGAUUUGAAAUCUCUGUCCUUAAUUGAAGCGGGGAAUGCAAUUGCACUGGUCAUUAAUAAUUACUGAUAAACCAAAGUAGUGAUGGAGCCAAAUAAAACCUCCUGCCACUAGGAUCAGAUUCUGCAAAAGAGACAGACCUGGCAGCUCCAGCCUGUCUGCAUUUCCUGUUUUUCGGUUGCUCCUAUGUUGGAAUCGCUGGGUUUCCAAACCGUGCGUGUACUCACAGUACAUGAUGUCUGUAUGUGCAGAUCAAGAGACAUGAACUUCAUCUACACAGACGGCAAAAAGCAGCUUGCAGUUACUUUAACAUGUGACCGGUCCCAAUUAUGGCUUCUUCCACAUGGCAUCAGUAUGCGAUGGAGGAUCUCACUCUUCUUUUGCCAGAGGCAAAUGAAUACAUUACCCAGCAGCGAGGCGUGGGGCAGUGGAUGCCUCACUCUGGGGUGAUUUGGAUUCCACACUCGCGUGGGGGUGUGAGCCAACCUCAGAAGUCAUUUUCACUGAUGCUGACACAUAAGGCUUCCCUCAGAGACCUGUCUAUCAAACUGCAACAUGCUAUGCAGAAAAA